GCCGAGCCGGGCCGGGGCCGGGCCUGGGCAGGGCGGCUGCAUGUCUGCCCCCCCCGGGCAGCAGAGGCCGGGGCAGGGCGGAGGGACGAGGCUCCAGCGCUGCCCGCGGCGAAGGGAGGAAGGGGCAGGUCCGCGAGUCGCGGCGGCUCGGCUCGGCUCGGCUCGGGCGGGGCAGGCCCUGCAGCUCCGCCGCCAGCGCCUGCGUCCGGGGACGCGCCGCUCCGCCCUGGCUCGCAGGCCCGCGGCGUUUGGGCGGCGGAAUUUGAAAUCCUUCCCCCUGCAGUCGGCGGGCACGGCUCUUUGAGUAGAGGUAACAGCUUUUGUUAGACCAGAAACGUGCAUGUAAAAGUUUAGAAACUCUUCCAAAUGAGAGUGGUGCUCACUGCCAAUUAAACAAAUGCACCAUGGAUUACUGGACUAUGGAGCUGGAUUCUAAACAGGAAGGUUUCCCAGAACAGUGUAUCCCUCAGACUACAGAGGAAAAGCAAAAUUCAGUGAUUUUUCAAAAUCAUGGAAGCAGAAGUACUACCCAGCCUUGCCCAAGAUGUAUUGCCGGAGAAUCUGGUCACUUUAACCAUAUUCUGGACUUCUAGAAGAUGAGAGAUUGCAAAUCAGCAAUAGUAACUUUUUUAACCUGUAGGAAAAAGGAAGUGUAAAUGCUGUACAGCUGGAUUUCUGUACACACCCAUUCAAUUAAGAGCAUUGAUUUAGAUUUGUUAUACAGGAAGAUUUUUUUUAUAUAUUUUUGGUGUACAAUACCUUAUUCCUUGGUUUUUACAUUGGAAAAAUGUUUUUAAUUCAAGAUUGCUUCCAUUUUGAUCUUUCUCCCCAGUGCCUCUCACUCAGUCAAGGUUUUCCUCCUAAUCUUUAUCGUGUUAGUAAUGAGUAAAGAAAAAAUGUGAAGAUAGGACUGAUUCAGGUUUUUAGGAAAAACUUACUGCUUUUGUCCAACCCUGUAAACCCUAACUUCUGUAAAGAGUCUUGCUGGAGCAUUUUCUAUCCUGUUUGGAUAGUUUUAUAGGUACUAGUAGGGAGUAGUUCUUGCACAUAGAUGAGGGAUUUCAUUUGUAGCUCUGCCUCAAGCAAGGGCACCUAAAGGGAGGGUUCUUUGAACACACAGAUUCUGUUCCUGUGCUUGCAUUUGUUUAUUUUACAUGCAUCCAGGUACCCUGUUUUUAAAACUUUCCAUGUUGAUGGACAAUACAGUUCUACAUACACAGAUGUCCAGGUGAGAGAAAUGUUAUAAGAAAAGUUAGUGUUAUUUUCACAAUAUUCCAUAGUUAAAAGUUGAAUGCCAUUACUUGCUGCAGGCAGUGCCUGCUCAGAACUGUCAAGGAUACAACCAGCCUGCCACUCCUUGAACCCAACUCAUGAGGACUGAUUUGCUUUCCUGUUGUAGUCUGGCAUGGGACAGCACUAGAAUUUGUGCCUUUUAAAAUGCCAUAAAGCAUCUUAGCUUGAACAUGUUAGUAAGAUGCACAAUAAAAAUAAUUGUUUAACAAUCAUUGUUUAAUAAUAAUAAUAGUUAUUAUUACUGCCACAGAUUGAGAUUGUAAUAAUUUUCUAAAAUGAAUCAGUGACCAAAAUUCAGCUGUCUACUGUUGUGCCAUUAGAGUGUGAGGGCAACAUGGAGCUUCAGUUGAAGGAUGGGGAAUCAAAAGAUAGACCAUUUCUUGGAAGAUCAGGAGCUGGGCUAGUACGUCAAAGGCAGAUAGACAUGACCACACUUCUUCUAUAAUGCAUGCUCUGGUAGGUACACAGGGAGCACAAACUGUUUUAAUUUGGAGACUCUGGUUGUGCCCAGAGGCUGCUCAAGGGAGUGCUUCCUUUAAGCAUCCAGGCACAAUUUAGCCCCUAACAAACAACAAAGAUUCUGGAUCAGAGCCUUAGCUACAUUCACUGAAGGACCCAAAUAGUUCAUAGGACAUUGUGGGCAUUACAGCUUUCCACCUUCCUACUAAUGGGAACAGUCAGGAGCCAGUUCAAUUCCCAGAGCAAUUUAAAACAGCAGCCCUAAAGCCACACUAGGCUGGCAACAGGCCUCUAAGGGCUGAUAUGCAUCCAAGGAUUAUGAGAGCACAGAAUGCUCAGCCGAUGCCCCUCGCUGCUGCUCCCUGAAUUGUAGUGGGUAGAAUUGUGGCUGGCAAAGGGUUGGCUGUUUCUAAGAAAAAACAUUUUCUUAAAUAAAUUGAUAGCAUACAGAUAUCAAAAAGAUAGAAGGCAAAUCUAUAAAGCAGACCUACACUUUAGUGGCAUGAUUGCCUAUCGUUUUGUUAGGAAAUUUCCUCCACAUCAGUGCAAGUUUUAGUGAUGUUAAAAAAGAAAUCUUUCAGAGUGUGGAUUUUUUUCAAACAUUUUAAAAAGAUCUUCAUUCAUAAAAAACAGUAUAUCUAUUAAAAGCUGGAAUCUUUCAGAGCCACAGCAGCCUUAAAGGGUGUAUGGGUACUGCUAGCAUGAUUUCUUUUGACAUUGCAUUUUUCCCUGGAUGUGGAUGCAAGCUUUAGACCUAGCUGCAAUGGUGUAUUUUCUUAUUAAAGGGAUAGAAUGAGUGCACAAGUUCUCAUCUACUGACAUCAAUGCUUUUAAAUACAUUUUUUUUAAAAUGGGGAAAAAAAAAGUUGCCCCUAAUUUAUGAAGUAAUUACCAUAGCAGAAAGAGGCAUACUUUGGUAGUGAUUCAUUCUUAUAAAAUUUCCCAAGUUUUAGUUUUAAAAAUAUAGAUAAUAUUACAAGCAAAAUAAAGCAUGACUGGGCACAAGUUUCUCUGAAGUAAUAAUUCAAGUAAAUGGCUAAAAGUACAAAGCCAAUAGUAUCUGAAAAUGUAGUUAUUAUACAGCAACUUGAACCCUCUUAUGUUUUAUUAAAUAAAAGGCAAGACAAUUAAUAAUGAGUCUAACAGUGUAUAACCAAAGAAAAGAUAUGGCAAAAGGCACAUAUAACCAAAAAAGAGUAUAGGACAAAAGCAGUCUUGGUUCUGCUACAGGAAAAGAUUGUGAGAAUGUGUUAUAGCAGUUCAGCACCACCUUUUUUAAAACACUUGGGAACAUGUCUGUCUGUAUUGCUAGACUAGAAAUGUGUUUAUAUGUUAAAUGGGAGAAAUCUGAUUUUUUUCAAAAUAGCUUAUUGUCAGUUACCUCUUGCACUGUAUAUGGAUACUGUAUGCGAUUUCUUCCUUUGCUUUAAUAUUGUUAUUUAGAAGAAAAAUCUCAGUUCACCUAGCUAAGUGACUGACAGUUACUAACUAAUCUAAUCCACUUUAAGAAUAAACUAUGUUAAGUGGACUGGAGGUAAUAUUUUUAACAGAUUGGACAAUGAAGACCUCUUAAUAAUUCACCACUAUCACAUCUUACCUAAGAAGGGCUAAAUAAGGUAAAUUAUUUUGGGGAAAAACUAAAAAAUAUUCAACCAGUUAUUACCAUCUUCACCACAUCCUAUAAUGUGUUUGCUGUAAAAUAAGCAAUAGCUGUAUAAAAAGUUUGGUAAAGAGAAUUUAGAAGAUGCAAGAUACAGUUUUUCUUCCAUUUGUUAAAGAAAGAGUCAUUAAUAGAUUUCUUUUGACACCUUGCUACUCCAUCCCAGUGAGAAUCAUCAUUUUAACUUUUUCUUCUCCAUCUUCUUUCCCAACUAAUUUAUCUAAUGCUUGAGUUCUGGGCUUUACCUAAUUUCUUUUCUUCUCUUAGCUAAACCUUGAAUACCAAAUACUACAAUCAUGCUGAAAUUGCUGGUAAUUCCAGAUUAUCUGGGCCCAUCUACAAUUGACAUUCUACUCUUAUAGUCUCCAAAAGCAAAAGGGAACUAACAGUACCCUGUAUCAGCUAUCAGUAUGACACUAAACACUCUUUCUGCUUUAAAUUAAGAUUGGUGUCUAUACUGCAAAUUAGAUAGUUUCUUCACUACUCAAGACGAGACCAAAUUUGAGAAUUAAAGUAAUUCACAUGUGGCAAGUGUGUUCUUCCCAGCUUUGUAAUGGCAACUACUGGCAAACUCUCAGGUACUAUUUUUCUUAAUGCAACUUACAGAAAAAUGAAAAAAAAAGCUUCUGGGAUGUAACAUUUUAGGAGGGAGGGGUAAGAAUCUAAUUGUGGUGACUUCCUACCAUUUAUGGUGUUGAGCUCUUGAAAUACUGAUGUAAAGCCCUGAAGUGAACUUGGCUACAUGUUACUGAUAUUUCGGGAAUACACUUGGAUUUGCAUCAAGUAUUCUGUACCAGGGUGUCACACUUACCUUGCACCCUGGGCCACAGGCCACAUGGUAGUAGUAGCUCUGGCUUUGACCCAGCACAAAUAGAGGCAGUUCCAGUAUAGGACACACAACUCGGCUCCAGCUGCAUGCCCUGUGCCAUAGCCAGAGUUGCUACUGCCCCUGCAUGCCCCAUGCCACAGUGGGGCCAGUGGCCAAGAACUGGGGCCACAGCAAUGGCAACAGGCAAACCAGAGCUGUAUCAGUCCUCACCCUCCUGCUGCCAAUCACCUUAUCCACUAGAGCCUAAGAGCCAUGUCCCCCAGCAUCCCAUGGCCUACUAGCUGCCUUGUGAGUUAGAUCUGGCCCAGCGGGCUAUACGCUUGACACCCUCCUGCAAAUGGUAUCCUUAAUCAUGUGAAAUGCCCAAUAUUGUUAAGCAGCUUUUUGUUAGCCUGAUGCUACUGCCAUUGAAUUCAGUGACAAAUCCCCAUUUACUUCACUAAGGCCAAGAUAUUAUCCCCUAUGCAUCUCUGCUGCUUCUUUCUUUGCCCAUUGUCAUAUGACCACUGUUACUAAUUAUGAAGAUACCACAUAAUGUCUUGGACUGGUCCUUCUACUGAGAACAAUGUCAUCUUCCCUUGAUUUUCAUGAACUAGAAAAUAUGCAAAUUCCUACUGCAAAAAACUGAGUGAUGGAUGUUCAUAUCCAUAUCUGGAAAUUCUGGGCUGCUUUCAACUGUGGGUAUAUGCUAAAAUAAUUUUGAAUGAUUUUCCUACUGAAGUAGGGAACAGGUAUAAACAAGACAGCAUAAAAAGUCACAUGAAAGCCAGUUCUUUUCAUAUAUUUAAAAACUAACAAUAAUGAUUUUUUAAAGAGUAUAUUGCAUUUGUCACCCAUUCUAGGCUUGCCAUCAGUUAUAAUGGUAAAGUAGAAAUACUGGACAUACAUGAAUGCAAUACAGAUUUGGACAGGUGAAAAUUCUCUUGAGUAGACUUAGAGUUGCACUAGGACCACAAAAAUUAUUCUUUGAGGAAUUUUCUUCACUCUUUUCUAUGACUAACAUUUUGCUUUUAUUGAUGAAUUCUAGAUGCGUGUUUUAUAUUUCCUAAUGUUUAUGCUUUUGUAUACAAACACUUUUGGAGUGGUGCUUUAUUUACAUGUGUAUAAUACUGCUUUGGUUACUGUUUUUAAUGCAGAUAAACUGCUACAACUAUGAUGGGUUUUAACUUUGGAUUUUGUAAAUUGUAACUUAAGAGCAGUAGCAUUAAACACCACCUUGACUUACA